rnacentral:rRNA from 1 species
GAUGAACGCUAGCUACAGGCUUAACACAUGCAAGUCGAGGGGCAGCAUGGUCGAAGCUUGCUUCGACUGAUGGCGACCGGCGCACGGGUGCGUAACGCGUAUCGAACCUGCCCUAUACACGGGGAUAGCCUUGCGAAAGUAAGAUUAAUACCCGAUGCCAAGUUGAGAUCGCAUGAUUUUGAUUUGAAAGAAAUUCGGUAUAGGAUGGCGAUGCGUCUGAUUAGGUAGAUGGCGGGGUAACGGCCCACCAUGCCGACGAUCAGUAGGGGUUCUGAGAGGAAGGUCCCCCACAUUGGAACUGAGACACGGUCCAAAACUCCUACGGGAGCAGCAGUGAGGAAUAUUGGUCAAUGGUCGCGAGACUGAACCAGCCAAGUAGCGUGCAGGAUGACGGCCCUCUGGGUUGUAAACUGCUUUUAUAGGGGGUAUAAAGUGUGUCACGUGUGGCAUAUUGCAGGUACCCUAUGAAUAAGG